rfam:Colletotrichum orbiculare MAFF 240422 contig02451, whole genome shotgun sequence.
ACAUACGACCAUACCCACUGGAGAACUCGGGAUCCCGUCCGCUCUCCCAUAGAUAAGCCAGUGAGGGCCGGAUAAGUAGUUGGGUCGGUGACGACCAGCGAAUACCUGGUGUUGUAUGUU